rnacentral:misc_RNA from 1 species
AAAUCUCACAAUAUGGAUCUUUUUUCAAAUUGUGGACUUGGAUUUGCGAUUACUCAUGUAAUUGCUAAUCUGAAAUGGAUUUCAUGAAGCUAAACUUGCUUUUAUCUUUGCUUAAUAGUUUUGCUUUGCAAAUCUUUUGCAUUGAUUUAAAAGCCAAAAAGUGAAUUGAUUUUUACGAACUCAAAUCUCAUU